rnacentral:rRNA from 1 species
GAUGAACGCUGGCGGCGUGCCUAAUACAUGCAAGUCGAACGCUUCACUUCGGUGAAGAGUGGCGAACGGGUGAGUAAUACAUAAGUAACCUGGCAUCUACAGGGGGAUAACUGAUGGAAACGUCAGCUAAGACCGCAUAGGUGUAGAGAUCGCAUGAACUCUAUAUGAAAAGUGCUACGGGACUGGUAGAUGAUGGACUUAUGGCGCAUUAGCUUGUUGGUAGGGUAACGGCCUACCAAGGCGACGAUGCGUAGCCGACCUGAGAGGGUGACCGGCCACACUGGGACUGAGACACGGCCCGGACUCCUACGGGAGGCAGCAGUAGGGAAUUUUCGGCAAUGGGGGAAACCCUGACCGAGCAACGCCGCGUGAAGGAAGAAGUAAUUCGUUAUGUAAACUUCUGUCAUAGAGGAAGAACGGUGGAUAUAGGGAAUGAU